rnacentral:tRNA from 1 species
AUAAAUUUGGCAGAUAAUUGUAUUAGAUUUAGAAUCUAAACAUAGGAAUUUAAGUUUCCUAAUUUAUA